rnacentral:rRNA from 1 species
GAUGAACGCUGGCGGCGUGCCUAAUACAUGCAAGUCGAGCGCUGAGGCUUGGUACUUGUACCAACUGGGUGAGCAGCAGACGGGUGAGUAACGCGUGGGUAAUCUGCCUUUGAGCGGGGGACAACAUUUGGAAACGAAUGCUAAUACCGCAUAAAAACUUUAAACACAAGUUUUAAGUUUGAAAGAUGCAAUUGCAUUACUCAAAGAUUAUCCCGCGUGGUAUUAGCUAGUUGGUAAGGGAAAGGCUUACCAAGGCAAUGAUACGUAGCCGACCUUAAAGGGUGAUGGGCCACACUGGACCUGGGACACGGCCCAGACUCCUACGGGAGGCAGCAGUAGGGAAUCUUCCGCAAUGGGCGAAGGCCUGACGGAGCAACGCCGCGUGAGUGAUGAAGGUCUUCGGAUCGUAAAACUCUGUUAUUAGGGAAGAACAAAUGUGUAAGUAACUAUGCACGUCUUGACGGUACCUAAUCAGAAAGCCACGGCUAACUACGUG